rnacentral:lncRNA from 1 species
AUGAACACCGUUCUGCCUUGCCAAGACCAGUACUUUGUAGGAGGUCAGAGCUAUAAUUGUCCGUAUUCCACUACAACGUCAGAAUCUAGUGUUGACGUUUCCACGGAGACUUGGGUCUCUUUCUGGGCUGCUGGUUUCCUGGACAACAGAGAGCCCCAACAGGCACCACAGGCACAGGAACCAUCAGGUGACUCGAAUUUCCCUGUUCCUAAUUUGUGUUCAUGGGAAGAGGCUCAGCUUUCCUCUCAGCUCUACAGGAAUAAGCAGCUCCAAGAUACUCUGGUACAGAAGGAAGAAGAACUUGCUAGGUUACAUGAAGAGAAUAAUCAUCUCAAACAAUAUCUGAAUUCUGCUCUAGUUAAAUGUCUUGAGGAAAAAGCGAAGAAAUUGCUGUCAUCAGAUGAGUUCUCCAAAGCAUGUAGAAAAUUCAGAAAGGGGAAGAGGAAACCCAAAGAGCAAAGAUAUUUUCCUCCUGAGAUUCCCCAUCAUAAAAAUGCCAAGAGAAGCCUUGCUAGUGAAUUUGCUAACUGUGGACAAAAUGGACCCCCUGUGGAUCCCUGGGUUCUUCAGACACUGGGGUUAAAAGACCUCAACACCAUUGAUGACACCUCAUCAGCUAACUACAGUGCCCUCUCGUCUCAUGCCAGACAGACCACUAGCACAUUUCCCCAGUUUCUGGAUGAGGCAAUUGAAUAUCCCAAUGUCCCUGGGGAAGAUCUGCCAAUUGACUAUGGAGGUGAUAGAACUACUCCCUUGCAAGGCACUGCCAGCCACAGUGAAGAUUUUCACUUCCUUUCUCAGCUUUCAAAUCCUCCAGAAGGACUACAAACUCUUCCUUACUAUACUUCUGAUGUGUCACCCAAUAAGACAGAGAUGGCCUUUUCCACAUCCUUGAGCCCUCACUGUAAUGUGAAGACUCACUCCUUCCACCAGGGACAAGCCUUUGUUCGUCGAGAUGAGGAGGGAGGCUGGAAGUUUACCUGGGUCCCUAAGCAGUCUUAG